rnacentral:rRNA from 1 species
UACAGAGGGGGCAAGCGUUAUUCGGAAUUAUUGGGCGUAAAGGGCGCGUAGGCGGCUAAACAAGUGACGGGUGAAAGCCCUCGGCUUAACCGGGGAACUGCAUCUGAUACUGGAUGGCUUGAGAUUGGGAGAGGGAUGCGGAAUUCCAGGUGUAGCGGUGAAAUGCGUAGAUAUCUGGAGGAACACCGGUGGCGAAGGCGGCAUCCUGGACCAACACUGACGCUGAGGAGCGAAAGCCAGGGGAGCAAACGGG